UACGUAGGGUGCGAGCGUUAAUCGGAAUUACUGGGCGUAAAGCGUGCGUAGGCGGUUGGCAAAGUCAGCUGUGAAAUCCCCGGGCUUAACCUGGGAAUGGCGUUUGAAGCUACGGAGCUGGAGUGUGGCAGAGGGAGGUAGAAUUCCACGUGUAGCGGUGAAAUGCGUAGAUAUGUGGAGGAACACCGGUGGCGAAGGCGGCCACCUGGACGGUAACUGACGCUGAGACGCGAAAGCGUGGGUAGCAAACAGG
rnacentral:rRNA from 1 species